CGGAAGUGGUCAUCAGCAAGUGUGGAGCCAAACGACAACAAGAUUCUCAGAGGGCGGAGCCAGAGAGCAGUGAUUGGUCAGACCAUAGAAGACAGCGAGCUAGCGUAUCUAGUCUGCUAUAUAUAUCUAUGGUCGGCACGUGUGGUAGCAUCUCUGGCUGCUGUUGACCUUGUUUUUGGAGUAAAACACGGUGGAAGCUGAAUUAGUGAGGAUGACUCCUGCUCCUGUCAUCUCUAAGCUCCUCACACAUCUUUACCUGCACAUGAGGAAAAUCACUCCUGUAGAAUGCAGUGGUUCAUCAGAACCUCUGGGGAUGUCCUGUGGAUUCUGUGGAUCCUGUGGGUUGCAGGGUGGGUCCUACCUAGACCAGGCUGAUCCUGGACCAUCCCACAGAUGCUCAAUCAGAUCUGGAUGUGGGGAGUGUGGAACCCAGAUGUUCAGAGGGAGAUGAUGCCACAUCUGGUCCAGCUGAUGGAAGGUCUUGAAGUUCUCUGACUGGCCUCGACUGAAGAUGGUCGUCUCACUGGAUUUAAGGUUCAGAUGCUCAGUAACAAACUCCACCAAUGUGCCAACAGGGAAGCUUUAGGUUUACUAAAUGUUGCUAUGAAGGUUUCACUGUUUUUCUUUGUGAAUGCAAUGCGCUCCAACUGAAACUUGAAUUAGAAAUUAGAAGUAAAUCCUUCCAUCUGAAAGGAUUUAGUUGCAUUAAUAACCUCUUAACAUUCUAAUUUUUCUUCCAGUCUUGGUUGGAAAUAGAAUCUCUGUAUUGAUUCAGGUAAAAACUGAACUUCACAGCAUGUUGGAGCAAAACAACCAGAUGAAAACUGUGAUGGUGUUGGAUUGUCAGACCGUAAUGUUGCAGCUCAAAGCAGCUUUUCUAGCUCAGUUCAUUGUGACAUUCAGCUAUGAAUCAACACAGCAGAUGGUGAUCCAUGCUGUGGAAGUCUCACAUCUCCUGAUUUAAUGGAGCUGCUUUGCACUUUUUACACUGUUUAUUCACCAACACUUUAUUUAAUAAAAGUCCCAUCUAGUUUUUAUGAGGAAUGUGAUGUUUUAAUUUCUCUGUGAAUAACUGCAGUCUAAUGUAACAGCUGGAAUUGUAACAUCUGUCCUGAUAUUGAUCAUAAAGUAUUGAUCAGAAUACUUAUGGUCAGCAGUCAUCCCUGAAGUUUUAUAUUAAAAUCUUUACUUGUGUUAUGAACUUUGGUAAGAAGCAGAAACUUUAGCAUUGCUAUAGAUAUAUGAGUGUUAAGUUCUGUCCAUGUUUCCAUUUUGGGAAAUGCAGUCCAGCAGAUGAGUUUUUUACUGACAGCUACCAUUCAGUCUGAGAUAUUAAGAAUAAAUAAAUGUGCAUAAUGUGGAAAUGAACAGAUUAUAUUUUUAUUUAUUCCUACAGCUGCUGCUGGUAAAGUUCCAGAAUGUGGAGGAAUUUAGUCUCACAAUCAGACAAUAAAUAUUGUCUGAAAGUCGGGUUAUUGUUGUUUAUCAGCACAUGUUGGACAUAUUCCAGUUAAGACUCUAGAAUAUCAGGAUUUAUGUAAAUUUACCUCAAUAAUAUGAAUGUUCAGGUUAAGAUUGUGCAGUGAUAUUUAUUAUGUAAGUUUAGCUGAUUAAAGUUUAUGACUCUGCACUACAAAAUUAUUUAUUAUUUAAAUUUACAUCAUUAUUAUAAUAUUUAGGGUCAGACCCUACAGUAUUGAGAUUAAGAAAUCAAAUAUUCUAUAAAAUGUAAAUACACUGAACUCAUUUGGAUAUAUUUAAGUGAAACUCUACAAUAUUAUUUGACACAAAUCUAUCUAAAUCAAAAUUUUUAUCAUUUUUACUCCAAACAUUUACUGGACUGAUUUAAAUAUUAAAAUCACUCCUUUCUAAUCCUCUGCUGUACGUUCAAACCUGAGGCCUUAAAUAGAAACACACAAGUAUCUGUUUGAAGGAACUUCUGCAGAGUCCUGGUUCCAGAACAUGAUGAUAGAAUUAUAGACAAACUUUAACAAAAGCUGCCUGAGAGUUUACAGGUUUUUAUGUUGGAUUUCUUCAGUAAUUUAAUGAGCGUUAUCAGCAAAAAUCAAGUGUUCAUUUGAUGAACUUCAUUUCCUAAAACAUCCAGAACUGGAGCUCAUAUCUUUGGCAGCUGUAAAGUUUCUGCUCCUUCAAAGUUCACAACACAAUGAAUUAAUUCCUAAAACACUCUCAAUGCUGGAGAGCGUUUGUGAUGCUGAAGCAGUGACCAGUUUUUCUGUUUCUUCUCUGGAGAUGCACAAUGAGGGACGUCUGCAGAGACUGAGAAAGAGUCUCACCACAUCCUGACAUGAGGAAAAAGACUUUAUUGAAGACUACAAUGAGAAAAACUAUCAGACAGCAGAUGGCAUGCAUUCAAGGUGAGCUCUGAACAUUUGAUCUGGAACAGGAAUUCAAUAACGGCAGCAUGAGCUUCAUUUCAGUCUGUAGCUGCUGAAUUCAUGGAUGAAUCAUCUGGCACUAGAGAAGAAGACCAUCAAACAUCCACGUCAGUUGAUGGAGGUCCAAGAGUCUCACCAAACAAACAACCUACAGAGUGAAGACCUCAAAUCUGAUUGGACGGCCUCCUAUUCAGCCACAUGCUGUUAGAUUGUUCCAGAUAAGACAAGUAAAAGAUUCUUCAGAGCCGUUCUACCACGAGCCUGACAGGAAGAACU
ensembl:lncRNA